AUGUGGCAACCAAAGGACCUCGUCCUCGUCGCCAUCUCGCUCUGUGUGCUUGCAUGCACGGUGGCGGGCGACGGCGGCGGCAGGCCGCUCGUGACGGCCGUCACAAGGGAUGCCACCUCCCUCUACACCAUCCCCGUCAAGUCCAGCCGCCCGCUGCCGCUGGUCCUCGACCUCUCCGGCCCCAUCGUCUGGUCCACCUGCGACGGCGGCGCCUCCCACGACACGCUCGAGUGCAACAACAUGGACUGCAUGCGCGCGCACCGCUUCCAUCCGCCCAACUGCCAGCAUACCGGCUACGGCAUGCCGGACGCCCACAACCCCUACCGCUGCAAGUGCACCGCGCACCCGCACAACCCCGUCUCCGGCGACACCGCGUCAGGGGACAUGACGCGCGUCACGCUCUCCGCCAACGCCACCGACGGAAGGAACCCGUUGGGCCCGGUGUCGUUCACCGCCGUGACGUCCUGCGCGCUGGACUCCUUGUUAGCGGGGCUGCCGGUGGGGGCCGUCGGCGUCGCGGGGCUCGCGCGCUCCGGCCUCGCCUUCCCCGCUCAGGUCUCGCGCACGCAGGGCGUCGCUAACUCGUUCGCGCUCUGCCUCCCAAGCGGCCAAGGAAACGGCGUCGCCAUCUUCGGCGGUGGCCCGCUCUUCGCGGCGAAUGGGCGGUCCAUCACGGAGUUGCUUGGCAGCAGGACCCCGCUCCGCAAGCACGGGGAAUCCCCCGGCUACUACAUCUCGGCCAGCAGGGGCAUCGCCGUGGACGGAGCGCGGGUGCCGCUGGACUCGUACGCACCUCUCACCAUUGGCUUCUCCACGACGAUCCCGUACGCGGAGCUCCGCCACGACGUGUACCGCCCGCUCAUCAACGCGUUCGACCAGGCCAUGGAACGCCAGGGUGCGAUUACUACCGGUGCGAGGGUCCCCUCACCGGCUGCGGCGCCGUUCGAGCUGUGCUACAACUCGUCCAGGCUUUCGCCGACGCGGUUCGGCUACUUUGUGCCAACGGUCGAGCUGAUGCUGGAAGGCGGCAGGAACUGGACGGUGUUCGGCAUCAACUCCAUGGCGCAGGUGAACCGCGCCACGGCGUGCUUCGCUUUCGUCGAGAUGAAGGCGGGGGACAAGUCCUGCGUUGCCGCGCCGGCCGUGGUGCUCGGAGGGUUUCAGAUGCAGCAGAACCUGCUAAUGUUCGACGAGGAGAAGCAGACGCUCGGGUUCACCGGGCAGCUGACUGGCAGGGGGCUCUCGUGCGGCCAUUUCAAUUUUACGAUGCCCGCGUAA
rnacentral:rRNA from 1 species